rnacentral:rRNA from 1 species
UACGGGGGGGGCAAGCGUUGUUCGGAAUUACUGGGCGUAAAGCGUGCGCAGGCGGCCUUUCAAGUCAGUGGUGAAAGCCCGGAGCUCAACUCCGGAACUGCCAUUGAAACUGUUUGGCUUGAGUACGAGAGAGGUGAGUGGAAUUCCCAGUGUAGAGGUGAAAUUCGUAGAUAUGUGGAGGAACACCAGUGGCGAAGGCGACUCUUUGGCCUGUAACUGACGCUGAGGCGCGAAAGCGUGGGGAGCAAACAGG